rnacentral:misc_RNA from 1 species
UCUCUCUCUCUCUCUCUCUCUCUCUAGUACACACAUAUCCAUUUUUUUGAGUUUAAAGAAAGAGGGGUUGAUUGGAUUUUUGCAUGGAUGGAUCCUUCAAUUGGACAACACCAGGAAAUGCCCUCACAUUCACUGGAAAACAUGCUAGUUUGCUCAAAACCCCAUCAAGAGAGGAAACCAAGACCUCCACCAGAACAGGCUCUCAAGUGUCCAAGAUGUGAUUCCACCAACACCAAAUUUUGCUACUACAACAACUACAGCCUUUCUCAGCCAAGGUACUUCUGCAAAUCAUGCAGGAGGUAUUGGACCAAAGGGGGCACACUGAGAAAUGUUCCGGUGGGUGGAGGCUGCAGGAAGAACAAAAGAUCAUCAUCAUCAUCAUCAUCAAAGAAAUUCCAAGAUCAUCAGCAAUUAACUCCUAAUACCAACCCACUCGCUAGCCUCCCACCUUUAGCUUAUGACUCCAUUGACCCCAGUCUUGCCUUUGGUAGGCUCCAAAAGCAGUCUAGUGGGCAGCUAGGGUUUGAUGAGCAUGAUUUGUCUAUCUUGGGAAACCCAAACAACACCCGUUGUGAUAUGCUUGAAAACCCUAGCAUUCACACUUCAGCUGCAACUCCUUUUCUUGAUGCUCUAAGAAGUGGGUUUCUUGACGCCCAAUGCAGCAACUUCCAAAAUUUGUACAAUGGGUAUGGAAAUAGGAACGUAGGUGAGGUGGAAAAUAGUGGGGUUUGUGCUAGUGGAGAAAUGAUGAUGCCCUACGAAGAUAUGAGUUGUGCAGCCACACAAGCUGUGACAGUGACAACAAUGAAGCAAGAAUUGUGCAGUGGUAGAGAAGAUGAAAAUAAGGUUUUAUGGGGAUUCCCAUGGCAGCUCAAUGGAAAUGUGAUUGGUGGGGAUCUUGAUCCAGGAAGAGAAACCUGGAAUGGAGGACUUGGUUCAACUUGGCAUGGACUUCUUAACAGUGCCCUAAUGUAGUGCACCCAAUUUGUUAAUUUCACCUAGCUAGCCUUAUAAAAAAAAAAAAAAAAAAAAUCUGCAAG